UUGAAUAAGAGACGUUUUGACCAUUUUCAAUGAUUAUUCCUCAAUUAUAUAGUUUUGGUAACACGAGUAAUUUAAGUAAGAAGAUAAUGUCAUCUAAAACAAUAAUCUGUUUUCAAUACGUGGAACUGUGUCCAAAAUUGAAGUAAAUCCAAGUAAAUGUUUCAGUACCGAGUAUUGAGUUGAUAAGCCAGCGCCUACUUUUUGAGGGACAUAUCAGGGACAUAUCAGAUUUGAUAAACAACAGGUUUCAUAUUUUGACUAGUUGAUGUCAAAGGGGCAGUCAGCAACAAGUCAAUGCAACAAGUCAAAAUGAUAAGAAAGUGCCUAUGUUGCUUAACAGGAUACUGUAUCUGAAGUACGAUUCUGUAUAUGUAUGGUUUUAUCAAGACUUCCUGCCCAAGAUGCAGUAAGCUCGAUUACGAUUUUUUUUUACACAGUUCCAAAUUAAGUAAGGCUUGGCCAUUUUGUUUGUUUUUACCACACAUGCCAGCACCCACACACAACCCACCUGCUAUUAAUAUUUGUCAUUUGUGUUAAUACCGUGUUUGAUUUAUUAUGUUGGGUCUUUAUAUUUGGUUUUAGUGGGUUCUUCGUAGGUUGGGAAAAAAUGCACCUUAAAGGGCACACAAAUAACAUUUUCUGAAGUUUAAAUUUUCCGGAUUUUGGUUGCACACAUGCAAAUACUCCUGAUAAGAAAUGUACUGAAAAACCCAAUGUAAACCUGGGACAGAAAUGUUUGAAAUGUCUUUAGAUAAUGAGUCUGAAUACAGGGAAAGAAAAGGCAAAGACAAAUUCACUUACUGGGGUUGAAUAACCUCAUUAAGACUAGAGACAUUGGGUGAGAUUUAAAUGUAAUAUGUAAACACUUAUAAUUAGGAAGAAGUUUAUAAUUUAUCAAUAGUCAUAUGUGUGAUUCAGACCAUGAGAAGGAGAGAGCGCUGCCCCUGAAUGAGGGAAACCUGUCUCUAGUCUAUUUUACUACGCCUUGAAUGACCUUAUGGGAUACAAUUAUUUCCUUCUGGAGUUAUCAAGGGUUGUAAUUAAAUUUGGAUUUGUUCUUCCAAUUAGUACAAAUGUUAUUUAACUGGCAGUGUUGUUGUUUUUUGGACACAUGAAUCCCGAUGUGAGUCAUGUGUCCAAAGGGAGAAUUACCAGUCCCCCGGGGCCCUUUGGUAAAUAUGCAAAUGUAUUUUGUUUACAUGCCUGCCUGUACAAGGAAAACAUAUAUGUUGGUAAUGGUUGACAGUUACUCCAAAUGGAUUGAAGUAUUCCCGGGGUCAAACACUUUCUUGCAAUUAUCUAGUAAUGUCUCUGUACUACAGAAUGUAUCAGAUUGUUGGGUUUGUGGAUUGUUACCAGACAGUACUUGCUAUACCCCUCGGUGCAUAUGAAAUAUUGAUGUGGACCAAAGCAAGUAACCUUACAGACAGAGAGCUUGAUUGGGUAAAGGAUAAGUUGUUUUAUAUGAAUAAGUGUUUUGUUUGUUUUGUUACAGACAGAGAGCUUGAUUGGAUAAAGGAUAAGGUGUUUAUAUGAAGAAGUGUAUUGCUGUUGUUGUUUUUUUGUAACACAAAUCGCACCAGUUUGGGUCUGCAGGAACAGCCCUCUAACUCCCUGACCCUGUAUCUUUGCGGUGAGGUUGCCAAUGUGAUAGGGGAGGAGAAGCCUAUUUUCAAAAAUGGUUUCAACAGUUAUGGCGAAGGUGACCACAGAUGGUAUCUAUCAAGACUUCAUGGAAGGGAUAAUUAGACCGAGUGAGCCUCAAGCCCUCUAACCGGCUGAAGUGAUGGCAACAAUGGCGUUCACUAUGGCCCCUGUCCUUCACCACUUCUACCGGAGACCUGAGUCCGAGUCAGCAACCUGUGCACAGCAUCCAAUCUAAGCUAUCAACUGCUUUUUCUCUCAGAGGAGUGCGGCAUGAGUCCACGUGGAGUGAGCAUAGAGAGAGAUCCCGUCCAGACAUCUCUCAUGGUUCUGUGUACUGGUCGGAAAAUGGAGAAGACAUAAUGGACUGUAAAGGAUGGUGGCAGCUCAGGUGAGAGAUUCAUCUGCUGUUUGCAAAAUCAGAUUUUUCCUCCGAUAUUGAAAUUGGAACAUUAUCAAGGGCCAUCUACAUUGAACAUGUGCCAUUGGUAGGUCAAACUGAAGAAGAAAAUGAAGAAACGCAAGAAGAAUGAAUGCCAGGGAGGGGGUGGUCAACCGUGCCCAUAAUUGAUUUAGGCUUGUCCAAAAUGGUUUAUUUGGGGUAUCAGGUUGAUUGUGGAGGUCUGCACACUGCGAAAUUCAUAGUAAUUUAGACAAAAAAAUGCAUUGAGAUACCAAUUUGUCAUUAACAUGCCAAUCGCAACAAAAGCUCCAUCUGAUGUGUCAUUGCCAGAAUCCAUAAAUGAAAGUGUCUGUGUUUUUAUGAAGCAUAUGUGUAACUGUAUCAUUCUACUGCAAUGGUUUUACAAGUAAGGGCUAUGGAAUUACGAUCAGUUACUAGUUGGAUUGUACAACCCAGAAUGAAGGGUUUGAAAGUGUCUGUGGUUUUAUGAAUUGAUUUAGUUUACUUAUGAUGCAUUUUGAUAGAAGCUCCUUUGAUAGAAGCUAUAAUCUGAUGCUUACCUUAAAAAGCAGGGAAUGUGAGGGAAAAUGUUGUCUGAAGAGAUAGCAUUGAAUUGUACACAGCAUCUCCUUUCCCUCUAUCUUGGUUCAUGCAGGUGACUGUGACCACCUCCUCAGACCAAUUGGCAGUACGCCCAGAACAUUGUUCAGGGAAUCAAAAGGGAUAUCUCAGUUUCAAGGUCUCAGCCUGGAGAGAAGCCGCCUUGUGAGGUAUUGGUCGAUCACAUACAGGAACCAAAUAUUAAUUAUGAAUUAAUUAUGAGUAAUGUAAAUCCUGCAAAUAUAACUUGUCUGUGUAAGCAGUAUAUGAGAACAGGACUGCCCCAACUGACAUGUACUAUGGUGCAUUAAGUUUGUUGGAACAUCUCCAGCUUGCUGAUAAUAAAACAUUAUUAAUUUAAUAUUGA